GAGGUCCCGCGUUCCCAGAUGGCGAGAAAGCUGAGUGGUCCAGCAGCUGCGGGGCCAGCGCUGAGCGUCUCCUAGAUCUACUGUGCACCGAGGGGCUCUCUUGGGGCCCAGAUGGGGAUGCAGGAGUCUCGCAACUGGCGCGUGGCGGCAGGGCCUCGAAGCUAAAGCCCUCGCGGUUGUAGACAUGCAGGAUGCGGGAAGAUCCAUCCCCAUAAAUUCGUUCAUACUCUGCCCAGGACCCACGCAGGAGUGGCUUUAGAGUGUAGCGCGCAUGCUUGACUGCAAAGAAGCCAUCGAGACCCCCGCAGAGGUCAAAGACAGCUAGGGAUCGAGGGCUGCCGUCCACGGUGCCUCUGUAGAAACAGUGACCCCGGUGGCCAGAGGAUGCGCUCAGCCCUCCUCCUGCAGUAACGAUGCUACCAGCAGCACCCACUGUGUCAUCUCUCUCCAGGUCCAGCAGGAACCUCCGGCCGCCCGCGUAGACAAGGGCUUCCUCGGCUCCGCUGGAACCCGAAGGCAGGGAGAAAUGAGACGGGAGAAAAGAAAAGGAAAGAAAGCAAGCAAAGGAAACACCUAAAAAUGUUUAAAAUCAAAAGCUAGGAGGCGGCCUGCGGAGAGCCAGCGAGGCGGCGCGUCCCGGUCCCUUCCGUUGCCGCGUCCUCCCGCCCGGGAUCAUCCCCAGUCGGCUGCUACGGGCGCGGAGAGCGGCUCAGGCGCUGUGAAGAUGCGAGGAGGUGGGACAAUGAAUUUAUAGCGGCGUGCCAUCCUGCAAUGGCAAUUUCAACAAUUCGUCACUGCACGCUGCCUCUUAAAGGGAGAGCUUCCCCCACCACUCCCACCCUUCCCGGUCCGCGCCUAAUCUGAUGGGGGAGGGAGCAGCGAGAGGAGGAGGGUGAUCGAGGAAAGGCAGACCGGGAAGGAGGAAGGGGCCAGAACCUAGCAAGGUGGAAGGAGGGACAAAGGAGGGAGUAAGGGUGAGAAAGAGAUUGAGAGAGAAAAAGUAUUUGGGCAGAAAACAAGAAAAUUCUCUUGGCCUCAUUUAAAGCCACAGCAACUCCGGUUCUGUGUGGUAUUUCACAACCAAUCGGGGUUGGCUAACCUCGGCUUACCUCAUCUCCUGAAGGGGUGUUUUGGUGUGUUUUUAAAGUCUCUCUCUGCCUCCUUCCCCUUGCUGUUCUUGAGCGGGAUAUGAAGUUCUUGCUUCAUUUUGCCGGCCAGUGCGCUCUGGCCUUGUAGACCUGGUAACUUCACUGGUCAGGGCAGCCGCCUGUGCAACCCCAAGUCCCUCUCUCUUUUCCCUGGUUCUCUCCAGUCGGUCCCGGUAGCUGAUUUCCAGCCUCCUCAUCUCCUAGCUUGUUCACGUUCCAACACUUGCUGACUUCGGGCUAGGGGUGACUAACUUCUCCCGGCCAUCAGCUGAGCAGCCAGGCAGCCACCGGUGCUUCCUGGCGCGUCUCUGGGCAUGCAGCACUGCGGUGACCCCAACAGGGCCGGCUGCGGCCUGGGAAGUCCUUGGCUUUGUGUAUAAAUGGCGGUACUCCCAGCUUUUUUUCCAGGGCAUAGUUGGUCAGUGCCCACAAUCUGUCACUUAUCCCAGCCACUGGAACUCUGAGCUGUAGGAUGUCAGGGUGGGAAAGAGUUAACUCUUGAAGGGGAAUCUGCACCCCCACCCCAGACUUUUACAUUUGUGCUCACACUUUCUGGCAAACACUCCUUUGUUUGUUUACUUGCUACUCUUCUUAUAAGUCAGCCACUCACUGUCAGCCCUCUCAUUUUCAAAGCUCAUAUCCCAGGGAAGAAUACUUGAGGGGAGGUGAUUGGUGGUUAUUAGUAGGCAGGUGGCAUGGCCCCUGCUACUCAGUUCCUCCAUCCUUUGUUUCCUCUAAUUAUCAAUUCUAAGAAGGUGAAAGGAAACCCUAGUGACUUUCUCACAGCAAGUUGACCUGUGCCAGGGUCCAGUACUGGUCUCUGCACACACCCCGGGAUAAUUUACACAUCUCCAUCCCUUUUAACUCCACUCCUUCAGAGGAGAGCAGGCACACUUACAUAGCUUUUUCAGAUGAUACAUUCUCACGGAAGGUACCACGAGGGCCAAGACUGGAGAAGGCCAAACAACAGUUAAAGUAAAAGAGGGCAUGGAUUUGAGAGAGAACAAGGUGUGUGUGGGGUGGACGGGUGGAGGAGUCCGAGAGAGCCUGAAUGGAUCCUGAAAUAUAUCGGGACAUAGAAGGAGGAUGCUGCUGAAAGCACUUGUGUUUCGAUUCUCAAGAUGCUCAGGUAGGUUUCCAGUAGUUAAUAUUACAAGGCAAUGGGCAGGUAGUAAAGGCAGAGAAUGGAGGCACCAGCAAUCUUCUCUGUCUCCCAGCAACCUUCAGCUUUGUGAUGACCCAAGUCACUCCAGGGAAGAUUACCUGGUACCUAUUUGUGUAGUAGUGGUCAGAGUAAGAAUGGCCCCAAUAAGGUCAUAUGAGGUCUCCAGUUGGCGGGAAAGUUUAGGAAGAAUUCGGAGGCGCGGCUUUUUUAGAGGAGGUGCAUCACUCAGGGGAAUCAAGAUGUGAGCUCUCAACUGGUCCUGCCAUCAUGGACUCAAACCCUCUGAAACUGUAAGCUCAAAAGACAUUUUUAAUUUUUAUUAUUUUAUUUUGUCCUAAUCAUGUUAUUUUUUGCCACAGCAAUUGCUAAAUAACCAAGAUAAAACUUUAUUUCUUUUAUAGCACCUCCAGGAGGAAAAAAAAUGCACAGUAUUUCAGUGUUUGGGAUCAAAGGCUCCAAAACAAACUAUAUUUGAAACACGAAACUUACUCAUCUGUGUCUCAAAGGAUCUUUUACAAAACAAGUAUUUCAGGUGACCCUGGGGUAAGGCUAUUAACUGCAAUUCUUUUCAUUUCUGAUCAGGUUCCUUAUGAAGAAGGUUAAAGGAUUCCCCAAUGACUUUGUCCUCCCUGACACCUUUUUUAUCUCUGAAAAAUAAAAUGUUGCUUUCCAAAAGGGACUCAAUCUAAAUCUCAUGCCUUCAUGUCUGAUAAAUGAGUGACAUUAGAAUUCAGACCAAAUAACCAAAUGUUUGGAAAUAUGUUAAGGGCAGAUUUGUUUCAAAAUGUGAGCAUAAAAUAGUAAGUAUUUAUUGGAAGUACUUGUCACAGGGAUGGAGCAGAUAGAGCUUGAGAUACAAUGAGUAAAUUUUUAUUGAAGGAGGGUUUUUUUGUUUGUUUGUUUGUUUGUUUGUUUGCUUUUUUGUGGUUUUUUUUGUGUGUGUGUUUUUGUUAUUUGUUUAUUUGUUUGUUUGUUUUCCUGGCUAUGUAUUCAGUUUUCAUGGAAGGUUCUUGUAACAUUGUAGAAAGUUUGUUACUGAUUGAAACAAAGACACUGCACCAGUGAAUCAGUGCAAUCUGAGAUGUUCUGUAGCAGAAAUGUUUCCAUAUUAAUUUACAGUCAUAUUGAAGUAGGUGAAAAUAACAGUCUUUAUCUUUGAAAUAGGAAGAAAAACUACGUUGUCUACCAUGUUUAGCUGGAGCCAUUGAUUACCUUUUUGCUUUAACAGCUAUUUUUGUACAUAGGUAAUAAGAAUUAUUUUUAAUACAUUUAUUGGAUACAUGAUCCACAAUCAGUUUAUAAACUUUACAUUUCCUCAAAUAAAGAUUUUCUACUGUAGAAUGCUACAAGUUCAAAGUUACCAUGGGGAUUUAUUGUGAAUUAGUUCUAAUGAUUUGAUUUAAUCAGGAAUCUGUGUUUCCAAACAUUGAAGGUCCUUGUCCCCAGUUGGUUUUUGAUCAAUCAAUAAAGAUGCCAGCAGCUAAUGGCUGGGCAAAGGGAGAUGGGGUGGGACUUUUAGACUUGCUUGGCUAAGACACAAAGAGGAACAGAGAAUUGCCAUUACUGGGGGGCGGGGGGAGCAGGAUGUGACGCAGGAGCUGCAGAAGAGAGAGCCAACCAGCCAUGUGAGAAUUCAGGUGGGUGGUCACUCAACACUUCCCCUAUAGGUCUGGGGUAGCAGGGGAAGGUUUAGGAAUGUCCAGCCUUUGAGGUAGCCAAGGCAUUUAAAAAUUAACUUGUGUGUGUGUGUGUGUGUGUGUGUGUCUUUCAUCCACAAAUCCAGAUAGGUGUUAGUGCGAUGUGCCAUGAGCCAAAGCUGUAUAGCUCAGACUUACUGCUUCAGGAAUUGUGUGAGGCAUCCACCAUCUAGUGGUCUGUCACAAGCUGAUGCUUCCAUCCAAGGCAACUACUAGUGACACACUCUCCCCAAACGAAAAUCUCCUAACUCUUAAUUAUAUCCAAUUUACAACACCUCUUAAAACCUAUGCAGCUUAUGAAAAUACAUAUCAAGGUGUGAAAGGCUUUGUGAGACUCUCUGGGGACCUGUGAAGGUGGAUAAGUCACGACUGAUGUUUGUAAAGAAUUCACAGUUCAGAAAUGAAGCCAAAAAGAUCAAUAGGUACUUGGGACUCCAACCUGGAAAAUACAGAUACAGAAGGGAAGAAAGAGAACAGUACCUACCUAUGGGUGCUCUGUGCUCUGCUUCCAGCAUGGCUACACUCCACAGCAUUUUGGCCCUGCCGAACACCUGCGCUUUACCUCCCACAUGGAAGAAUCAUAGCCUCUAAACUCUGGCUUUCCCAUAUCAAGACUUCUACCCCAUGCCUUGCUGCCUUUGGAACCAGCUCUCUUGAUACAAGGAACAUGGACACUGUCAAUGAACUAACCAGUACUUCCAGAGAUUUUGUCUCUAGCUACAUAU